rnacentral:lncRNA from 1 species
AACCAUCAGGUUCGGCAGCCCGCGGCGCCGCCUGGCAGCUCCUCCUCUUCUCCGCCCCGCCGGCCGCGGGCGCGGGGGACGUCAGCGCUGCCAGCGUGGAAGGAGCUGCGGGGCGCGGGAGGAGGAAGUAGAGCCCGGGACCGCCAGGCCACCACCGGCCGCCUCAGCCAUGGACGCGUCCCUGGAGAAGCAGACCCCACGUUAGCUGAAAUGGGAAAAAACUUGAAGGAGGCAGUGAAGAUGCUGGAGGACAGUCAGAGAAGAACAGAAGAGGAAAAUGGAA